GAAUUCGCCCUUAGAGUUUGAUCCUGGCUCAGGACGAACGCUGGCGGCGCGCCUAACACAUGCAAGUCGAACGAGCGAGAGAGAGCUUGCUUUCUCGAGCGAGUGGCGAACGGGUGAGUAACGCGUGAGGAACCUGCCUCAAAGAGGGGGACAACAGUUGGAAACGACUGCUAAUACCGCAUAAGCCCACGACCCGGCAUCGGGUAGAGGGAAAAGGAGCAAUCCGCUUUGAGAUGGCCUCGCGUCCGAUUAGCUAGUUGGUGAGGUAACGGCCCACCAAGGCGACGAUCGGUAGCCGGACUGAGAGGUUGAACGGCCACAUUGGGACUGAGACACGGCCCAGACUCCUACGGGAGGCAGCAGUGGGGAAUAUUGCACAAUGGGGGAAACCCUGAUGCAGCGACGCCGCGUGGAGGAAGAAGGUCUUCGGAUUGUAAACUCCUGUUGUUGAGGAAGAUAAUGACGGUACUCAACAAGGAAGUGACGGCUAACUACGUGCCAGCAGCCGCGGUAAAACGUAGGUCACAAGCGUUGUCCGGAAUUACUGGGUGUAAAGGGAGCGCAGGCGGGAAGACAAGUUGGAAGUGAAAUCCAUGGGCUCAACCCAUGAACUGCUUUCAAAACUGUUUUUCUUGAGUAGUGCAGAGGUAGGCGGAAUUCCCGGUGUAGCGGUGGAAUGCGUAGAUAUCGGGAGGAACACCAGUGGCGAAGGCGGCCUACUGGGCACCAACUGGCGCUGAGGCUCGAAAGUGUGGGUAGCAAACAGGAUUAGAUACCCUGGUAGUCCACACCGUAAACGAUGAUUACUAGGUGUUGGAGGAUUGACCCCUUCAGUGCCGCAGUUAACACAAUAAGUAAUCCACCUGGGGAGUACGACCGCAAGGUUGAAACUCAAAGGAAUUGACGGGGGCCCGCACAAGCAGUGGAGUAUGUGGUUUAAUUCGACGCAACGCGGAGAACCUUACCAAGUCUUGACAUCCUGCGACGCACAUAGAAAUAUGUGUUUCCUUCGGGACGCAGAGACAGGUGGUGCAUGGUUGUCGUCAGCUCGUGUCGUGAGAUGUUGGGUUAAGUCCCGCAACGAGCGCAACCCUUAUCUUCAGUAGCCAGCAAUUCGGAUGGGCACUCUGGAGAGACUGCCAGGGAUAACCUGGAGGAAGGUGGGGAUGACGUCAAAUCAUCAUGCCCCUUAUGAGCAGGGCUACACACGUGCUACAAUGGCGUAAACAAAGGGAAGCGAGCCUGCGAGGGUAAGCAAAUCUCAAAAAUAACGUCUCAGUUCGGAUUGUAGUCUGCAACUCGACUACAUGAAGCUGGAAUCGCUAGUAAUCGCGAAUCAGCAUGUCGCGGUGAAUACGUUCCCGGGUCUUGAAAUCACCGCCCGUCA
rnacentral:rRNA from 1 species